UAGGGAAUCUUCGGCAAUGGACUAAAGUCUGACCGAGCAACGCCGCGCGAGUGAAGAAGGUUUUCGGAUCGUAAAACUCUGUUGUUAGAGAAGAACAAGGACGUUAGUAACUGAACGUCCCCUGACGGUAUCUAACCAGAAAGCCACGGCUAACUACGUGCCAGCAGCCGCGGUAAUACGUAGGUGGCAAGCGUUGUCCGGAUUUAUUGGGCGUAAAGCGAGCGCAGGCGGUUUCUUAAGUCUGAUGUGAAAGCCCCCGGCUCAACCGGGGAGGGUCAUUGGAAACUGGGAGACUUGAGUGCAGAAGAGGAGAGUGGAAUUCCAUGUGUAGCGGUGAGAUGCGUAGAUAUAUGGAGGAACACCAGUGGCGAAGGCGGCUCUCUGGUCUGUAACUGACGCUGAGGCUCGAAAGCGUGGGGAGCAAACAGG
rnacentral:rRNA from 1 species